UUACGGCCAUAUAACUUUGAAUCACCGAUUUUCGUCCGAUCACCGAAGUUAAGCAACAUUGAGCUUGGCCAGUAACUAGAUGGGUGACCGCUUGAAAA